rnacentral:rRNA from 1 species
AACGAACGCUGGCGGCGGGGUUUAGGCAUGCAAGUCGCGCGAGAAAGGGGUAACCCGAGUACAGCGGCGUAAGGGUGAGUAACAGAUAGUCAACGUACCUAUGAGACACGGAUAAUUUCCCGAAAGGGAUUGUAAUACGGGAUGACGUCAUUGCUGGUACGCCGGUGAUGAUCAAAGGCUGGGGAUCCUUCGGGACCUGGCGCUCAUGGAGCGGACGAUCUCCGAUUAGCUAGUUGGCGGGGUAGAAGCCCACCAAGGCGAUGAUCGGUAGCCGGGCUGAGAGGCUGUCCGGCCACACGGGCACUGAGACACUGGCCCGACUCCUACGGGAGGCUGCAGUCGCGAAUCUUUUCACAAUGGGCAAAGCCUGAUGAAGCCACGCCGCGUGCGGGAUGAAGGCCCUCU